CGACAGUCCUUGAAAGCAGAUUAAAUACGUUCACGCACAGAUUUUAUGGCCUUGUUACCCAAAAGGCUACUGGCUUCUGUCCCUGCCCGAAAACUUUCUAAAGUGGUCACAAUUCUAGUACACGGGACACAGCAUUCCUCCUCUCCAGAGAAUGGAACAUUUGAGGCACCAUAUUGGAAAUAGAGACUGGACUCUCACCAGACAAUGAACCUGCUGGCAUCUUAAUCUUGGACUUCCCACCCUCUG